rnacentral:rRNA from 1 species
UACGUAGGGUGCGAGCGUUGUCCGGAAUUAUUGGGCGUAAAGAGCUUGUAGGCGGUUUGUCGCGUCUGCUGUGAAAAUCCGGGGCUCAACCCCGGACUUGCAGUGGGUACGGGCAGACUAGAGUGUGGUAGGGGAGACUGGAAUUCCUGGUGUAGCGGUGAAAUGCGCAGGUAUCAGGAGGAACACCGAUGGCGAAGGCAGGUCUCUGGGCCACUACUGACGCUGAGAAGCGAAAGCAUGGGGAGCGAACAGGAUUAGAUACCCU